AUUGAACGCUAGCGGGAUGCCUUACACAUGCAAGUCGAACGGAGUGGCGAACGGGUGAGUAAUGUAUCGGAACGUGCCCAGUAGCGGGGGAUAACUACGCGAAAGCGUAGCUAAUACCGCAUACUAUUGGAGCGGCCGAUAUCGGAUUUGCUAGUUGGUGGGGUAACGGCUCACCAAGGCGACGAUCCAUAGCGGGUUGGAGAGGCCGACCCACCAAACUGGGACUGAGACACGGCCCAGAUUCCUACGGGAGGCAGCAGUGGGGAAUGUUGGACAAGAGGGGAAACCCUAAUCCAGCCAUCCCGCGGGUGCGAAGAAGGCCUUCGGGUUGUAAAGCACUUUUGGCAGGAAAGUGGUACCUGCAGAAUAAGCACUGGCUAACUACGUGCCAGCAGCCGCGGUAAUAC
rnacentral:rRNA from 1 species